UCCAGAGGGUGCGAUCGUUAAUCGGAAUUACUGGGCGUAAAGCGCACGUAGGUGGCGACGUAAGUCGGGUGUGAAAGCCCCGGGCUCAACCUGGGAAUUGCAUUCGAGACUGCAUUGCUGGAGUACGGAAGAGGAGGGCGGAAUUCCCGGUGUAGCGGUGAAAUGCGUAGAUAUCGGGAGGAACAUCAGUGGCGAAGGCGGCCCUCUGGUCCAGUACUGACACUCAAGUGCGAAAGCGUGGGGAGAAAACAGG
rnacentral:rRNA from 1 species